UUUUUUCCUGGAGAUCCCUGCCUACUUAAGGCCUUCUGAAGGAGGACUGAAGACAAGAUUUUUAUCAGUUGGAUAUUUGGGAGUGGGCUUUGAGUGAUUUGUAUGACUGACUUUCCUGAUUGAAGAAGCUCUGAAAGGAAUAAUAAAGUUGGAAAAAUGUGUUAUACUACAGACGAGACAAGAGCCCAGAAAAUAUAGCUGAAAAUCUCACACAAAACUGUGGAGCCAGUCUUCCUAAAUAUUACCUAUGAAUAUUUUUUUGAGCCCUCCGGUCUUGUUAAAUGACAUGCAAAUAAUUGAUUUUAGCAGAGAACAAAAAAAUGUUUAAAUAUCUUGCAGCAUGCUUCUCUUUAAGUAGGCAUGUAUUAUGCUGAUAUCCAGUCAACAGCAGUUACCAUCUAACAAUGCCAUGUCUAACUUACAGUAUGCUACUGCUGAAGACCAGAAUAUCACAUAUCUUUAACUUAACACACAGGUCUCUAAACAUUCCAAUUGUUUAUCGCUGCACAAAUCACUCCUAUUCGUAUGCUAUAGGUAAGACAUGCUUUUGAAAAUUAAAGCAAUGUCAUUUAUCUUCUACUUCUUUCUUGUAGUCAGGUGAAUAGUUUAAUUAUUGUGAAGAAACAAAUUACAAAGAUAGUGUAUUUACUAAGAGCUUUUCAGUGAUGAAAAGAGUAACAAGUACCAGCAAUGAAGUGAAAUUACCUUACUACAUAAUUCAAAAAAGGACAAUUAAAAAUAUAUAAAUGUACACAUGGUUCUUGAAUAUGGUAAUAUUGCUCUACCAAACAAUGUGAAGUAUAGUAAGUAGGAGGGAAAGAUCAUUUGGGACUGAUUUCAUUGAAAAACAGUGAAAUCUUGUGUUUUCAGAGAACGAAGUAGCUUUCUGAUUAUUUUGUCAGAGAACAUAUUUCUUGCCUAUACUCUGUGUCCCAGUUGCUGAUUCUCAAAUUCUGUUCAGCGAUCUGAUUUCCUUGAUAAGUAGCCUUAUUAUCAGAACUGACUUCCCUCACAAAGUUGUUUUUCUUUUUGUUCUGCUUUAUCAUUACACGGAGCAUCUUCCCUCUCAUUUGUCUGUAGAGAUAUUUAAGAAAGGAUUUCUGUAUGUUGUUCAUAUCCUAAGGGAAAGAGGAUAUCUUAGGAAUCAAAAAUGGUAUCUCUUGUGUUUAAAUAGCUUUACAAAGCCCUGAUUUCAGAAAAAACUUAUACUUCCUGUCAAACUUGCGCAUAUGUCAAAAUCUUUUUGUGUAUUAAUUGUAUUUUUUAUGAUUUAAUUACUACUAAGGUGGAAGAGCAAAGAUAUUGCAUUGGGGGGAUGAAUUUAAUUUUUUUCCCCCUUCAGACUGCAGGGCAAGCUUUUGAUUUACUAGAUUAGACCUACUCAACAUCUUUGCUUUUGCUUUUGUCGUUGUUUCUUGCUCAUUUUAUUUUUUAAUUUUGAUCUUUGUAGUACAGGUAUUCUUUCCCAUUAUAUCAGGAAGAAAAUAUCAGAUAUAACUGUUGUGGCAAAGAAAUGUCAUACCUUACAAAAGUAAUGGUCAUCCUAAUACAGCUAGCUGAACAUUUUUUAUUUUUUCAUAUUAUUUAAUGUAGCAAUUUUUGCUGUCCCUGCAUUACACAGUGAUUGUAUUUUUUGACCAGAAUCAAAAUUGAUGAUUAGCUGUUUACUGUAUAUUUAUGUUUAAAUAUAUGCUUAAACUUUAUUUCAUAUAAAUACAAUACUGUGUAACAGUAGAAAUGAGGCUAUGUAAAUAACAGAUUUAAUUUGGAGAGAAUUUUUUUAAAAACAACACCAUUUGGGAGAGUUAAAAAAUAUUGUUUAGGGUUCUCUUGGGGGGGGGGAAAUACACACAGAAAAACGUCCACAUAGUUAUAAAUCCUUCAACUUCCAAAAUGAAACUUCUAUUUUGAAGAAUUUUUUUGCUUUUACACUUAAAAAAAAAAAAAAAAAAAUAUUCAGUCUCUGGCAUGAAACUAUCCACUAGGCUCAAGUAGUAUUUGGAAAUAUCAUGUAAUCAUAGAAUGGCUUAUGUUGGAAGGAACCUUAAAGACCACCCAGUUCCAAUCCCCCUGCCAUGGGCAUCUGUGACACCCACUAGAUAAGGCUGCCCAGGGUCCCAUCCAACCUGAUCUUGAGUGCCUCCAGGGGUGGGGCAUCCACAGCUUCUCUUGGCAACCUGUUCCAGUGCCUCAUCACCCUUUGAGUAAAUGAUUUCCUCCUAAUAUGUAAUCUUGUGGGAAUCGAAUGUUGUUUCUGUAUUAGAACAAGAUAAGAAUUUUCUUGAUUUCAUGGCCUCUGCUGCCAUUUGGGUCCUUUUUCAAAAUCUAGCUAGUAACAAUUUAUGUAUAGUCAGCAUGAAAAUAUAUGUUGUACUUUGUCACACACAUUGCAAGA